rnacentral:rRNA from 1 species
UACGUAGGGUGCAAGCGUUGUCCGGAAUUAUUGGGCGUAAAGAGCUCGUAGGCGGUCUGUCGCGUCUGCUGUGAAAACUCGGGGCUUAACCCCGGGCCUGCAGUGGGUACGGGCAGACUAGAGUGUGGUAGGGGAGACUGGAAUUCCUGGUGUAGCGGUGAAAUGCGCAGAUAUCAGGAGGAACACCGGUGGCGAAGGCGGGUCUCUGGGCCGUUACUGACGCUGAGGAGCGAAAGCGUGGGGAGCGAACAGG